GCCUCAGUAACGGCGAGUGAAGCGGCAACAGCUCAAAUUUGAAAUCUGGCGCCCUCGGCGUCCGAGUUGUAAUUUGUAGAGGAUGCUUCGGCGAGGGCUCCCGUCUAAGUCCCUUGGAACAGGGCGUCACAGAGGGUGAGAAUCCCGUACGUGAUGGGCUGCCCGAGCCGUGUGAAGCUCCUUCGACGAGUCGAGUUGUUUGGGAAUGCAGCUCUAAAUGGGAGGUAAAUUUCUUCUAAAGCUAAAUACCGGCCAGAGACCGAUAGCGCACAAGUAGAGUGAUCGAAAGAUGAAAAGCACUUUGGAAAGAGAGUUAAAAAGUACGUGAAAUUGUUGAAAGGGAAGCGCUUGCAACCAGACUCGCGCGCAGUUGCUCAGCCGGUCUCCUGACCGGCGUACUCUUCUGCGUCCGGGCCAGCAUCAGUUCGGGCGGCCGGAUAAAGGCCCCGGGAAUGUGGCUCCCCUCGGGGAGUGUUAUAGCCCGGGGUGCAAUGCGGCCAGCCCGGACUGAGGAACUCGCUUCGGCUAGGAUGCUGGCGUAAUGGUUGUAAGCGGCCCGUCUUGAAACACGGACCAAGGAGUCUAACAUCUAUGCGAGUGUUUGGGUGUCAAACCCAUGCGCGAAAUGAAAGUGAACGGAGGUGGGAACCCUCGCGGGUGCACCAUCGACCGAUCCUGAUGUCUUCGGAUGGAUUUGAGUAAGAGCAUAGCUGUUGGGACCCGAAAGAUGGUGAACUAUGCCUGAAUAGGGUGAAGCCAGAGGAAACUCUGGUGGAGGCUCGCAGCGGUUCUGACGUGCAAAUCGAUCGUCAAAUUUGGGUAUAGGGGCGAAAGACUAAUCGAACCAUUGGCCUGCGGCUGCUAGGUGGUCAAGAGGCCGCGCGACGGGAAAGCGCGGCCUAGUCCCUCCACUCGGGGCGACAUCAUCAAAUUGUUCGGGGACGUCCUUAGAGCUCAGGCCACCGCGGCGCCGUCGAAAGGCGGCGCGCAGCACCGGGGUAACGACCCAGGGGAUGGUAACAGCGCCUGAGAUUGGACAAUCCGCAGCCAAGCCCCUAAGGGCCCGGCGACCUCGCUCGGGGUCGCGGGGCCUACGGGGAAGGUUCACAGACUAGAUGGUGAUGGGUGCGCCCUCGGGCGUGCUUAAGAUAUAGUCGACCCUCACGGAAACGUGAACGGCGGGACGAAGCCGGCAGGGGUGAGUGGGCGCCGCGGGUCUCAAACCCGCCCGCGGCGGCACCCCCCGGCCCGAAUCCCGCCGCGGGGGCCUGGCGGCCAGGCCC
rnacentral:rRNA from 1 species